GAUAAAAUAUACACGAUCUUAUACUUUGCUAGUUCAUUAUGGAAUCCUUAACAAUUAUUUCCAUUUUAUUUUACUUGUCUACCGUCUUUGUUGGAAAAAGUUUUUCCACUGGGGUGCAAACAUGUUAUUACUGUUGGUGGAAAUGUGAAGAGCCUUUGGAAAUACGGGACUGUGCCAACGACUUCCAAGAUUUCAGAUGUUAUGCAUCUCAUGCGAUAACUCCAAAUGGAACGUACCAAGAGUUUAAAGGGUGUGUUCUGAGUGAUGAUGAGUACUGGCACACCCGUUGUGACACACUAAAUUAUCAGCCGGACAGCGGAUGUUACAUGUGUGACGAUGAUUUAUGUAACUGGUAUUAAGAUAAUAAAUAUGUAUGCAUUUCUGUGAA